rnacentral:rRNA from 1 species
UUUCUUCGGAAUGACGAGUGAUUUGACUGAGCGGCGGACGGGUGAGUAACGCGUGGGUAACCUGCCUCAUACAGGGGGAUAACAGUUAGAAAUGACUGCUAAUACCGCAUAAGACCACAGCUUCGCAUGAAGCAGAGGUAAAAACUCCGGUGGUAUGAGAUGGACCCGCGUCUGAUUAGCUAGUUGGUGGGGUAACGGCCUACCAAGGCGACGAUCAGUAGCCGACCUGAGAGGGUGACCGGCCACAUUGGGACUGAGACACGGUCCAGACACC